AGGAAACAGUGCAUUUAGUAUCCUCCUAGUCGCCGAGCGCAUCGCAUGUUUUUUCCUUAUCGGUAAUCGAUCAAUGCAACCAGUGCAUACCUAUUGUGCGCGUGAAUAUCGCCCGGUUAUAACUUUGCGUCUUGUUUAUUGCGCUUACGGAGCGGAUUGAAGUAGAAUCGGAGAUCCCCCGGGAGCAAUAUGCUGAGCGUACGGAUUUCGACAACCAGUACUUCGCCAUUCUGGCCAGCGCUCGGGAAUUACUUCGCAAGCGUGGCAAGUUGGAUGCGGAAAGUAAGGUUAUGUCUGAGGCCGGUUCCGGUUCGUGCCAGCAUAAAAAUAAUCUGCUUUGGUGAGAGUCAGCGAUGCCAAGGGCGCUCUGCACGUCGUCCGGAUCAUGCUGGACAACUGCAGCUCGACCAACUUCAUCAGCGAGAGGCUGCGCAAUAAGCUGCAGCUUCCGAUUUCCUACACGUGCUCCACUGUGACAGGUAUUAACAAUACCUUACUAUCUAAAAGUAAUCAGUCUUGCAACGUAACCAUAAAGUCAAUGGCAGGAGACUUUGAGUUGGAGCUUAGCUGUCGUGUGCUUCCUCACAUAAAGGAUUUGCUGCCAAUGUCAUACAUAGACAUAAAGAACCUGCAAAUACCGUCGCAUAUUCAACUAUGCGAUCCUACUUUCAACAUUCCGUCAGUCAUAGACAUGUUGGUAGGCGCGGAAGUAUUUUGGGAAGUGCUAGGUACUAAUAAAAUCGAUUUAGGGAAACGUCAACCCAAGCUGUACGACUCAAAAUUAGGCUGGUUAAUUUCCGGUGCGAUCCUUAAUAACAAUCAAAAUCAUCACAUUUUCUGUCAUGCUUCAGAAUUACUUGACACUAAUAUUGACAAGCAGCUCGCGCGCUUCUGGGAGCUCGAUAGUGUUUCACCAAUACAUGAUUUCACCCCUGAAGAGCGGAUUUGCGAGGAACAUUUUAAUAAAACCACUACGCGGACUGACGAUGGGCGGUUCGUUGUUACCAUGCCACUUAAAGAAUCGCCAGAGGUUCUAGGCGACUCUUAUGAAAUGGCUAAGUGCCGUUUCUUGUCUUUAGAAAGAAGGUUAAAACAUGAUCACGAAUUUAGGCAGAAUUACAACGCGUUCAUGAAUGAAUAUCUCGAAUUAGGUCACAUGUCCCGCACUGCGCGCGAGUCGAGCGACAGCCGCGUAGAGUGUUUUUGGCACAUUUUGGGGUGGUAAGGGAGAAUAGUCUCACCACCAAGUUAAGGGUAGUUUUUGACGCGUCAGCCCCCACCAAAUCAGGGGUGUCUUUGAACGGAAUACAGAGAGUCGGUCCCACCAUCCAGGACGACUUAAUUUCAAUUUUGUUACGAUAUAGGCAACAUAAGUAUGUAAUUUCAGGUGACAUCGAAAAGAUGUACCGUCAGAUGCUAAUUGCACCUGAACAAAGAUGCCUUCAGCAGAUUUUAUGGCGUUUUAAUCCGACCGAUCGUCUCCAGUGUUACUCUCUCAACACAGUGACAUAUGGCACAGCUUCGGCUGCCUUUCUAGCUUGCCGCUGCUUAAAGCAGUUAGGUUUAGAGGCGUCAGAUUCAGUCAUACAGCAAUCGAUCGUACACGAUUUUUAUGUCGACGAUUACUUGAGCGGCAGCACGAACAUCGAUGAUGCUAUACAGUUGGGAAAGGGAGUAAUUGACACAUUAAAAUCAGGUCAGUUAAAUUUACGAAAAUUGCGGUCUAAUAAUGUUGAAAUAUUACAAGCGUUACAAGGUCACAUACAAACAAAUAAUUGUGCGCAAAAUAGUGCAAAAGAUAAUUUAAAUAUUCAAGACUUGAGCAUUUCUGUGCCAUCUAAAACAUUAGGGCUAAAUUGGCAAUGUGACACCGAUACCCUUUUCUUUACGAUUAAUUUAAAAACUUGUAACAAUGUCACAAAGCGUCACGUACUUUCGUCAAUCGCGCAGGUAUUUGACCCGAUAGGCUUAGUAGGGCCUUGUGUCUUAGAAGCAAAAAUAUUGCUGCAAAAAUUGUGGCAAGAACGGUGCUCAUGGGAUCAGGAAAUACCCCCCACCCUUAAAGCACAAUGGGGUAAAUUCGAAACCACUUUACCAUUUCUUAAUGAAAUUAGAGUUCCGCGCUGGGUAUUAGGCGAUUCUAAUGAAGAAAUAGAAUUAAAUAUAUUCACAGACGCAUCUGAAGCCGCGUACGGUGCUUGCGCGUAUGUGAGGGCGAAGGAUAGCACAGGGACAGUUACGGUCCGUCUUUUAGCCUCUAAAAAUAAAAUAGCCCCAAUUAAAGCCACAACCAUUCCCCGAUUAGAAUUAUCUGGGGCGUUGCUCGGUGCAAGACUGUUUACCAAGAUACUGAGCUCACUCACCAUAAAAUUCAAUAAAUGCACAUUUUGGUGCGAUUCAAUGAUAGUCCUAGGGUGGUUAGCGUCAUCACCCGCCAAUCUUAAACCUUUUGUACGCAACCGAGUGAGCGAGGUACAGGAUGUUACUGCCGGUCACACGUGGCAUUACGUGUCCUCAAACGAAAACCCCGCUGAUUUAGCGUCACGUGGUUUAAAUGCUAGGCUUCUUGCGACCUCUGACCUUUGGUGGACAGGUCCCGAAUUUAUUAAGCAGGAUUCACCUUCCUUGCCCAAGUCGCAGCUUGCAUUGCCUACAGAUUUACCUGAAAUGGUACAUUGUCUAGCAAUAGACAUUCAAGAGUCUCCAUUUUCUCUCCUCCUCGAUCGAGUUUCCAAAUUUUCUAAAUUGGUUCGAGUCGUAGCAUAUGUCAUGAGAUUCAUUAAUAAUUGUUCAAAAAAUAAGGCUAAGAUGACAGGUUGUCUACAAAGUUCAGAAUUAACUUCAGCCCGAAAAUCGAUUAUAUCUCUGUCUCAAAGAGAAAUGUUUGAGGAGGAAUAUGCCACAUUAAAAUCAGGCAAAAGUCUUCCCGCAAAAAAUAGACUGCUUUCUCUCAGUCCGUACGUUGACAAGGAUCAGCUGUUAAGAGUAGGCGGGAGACUUGAUAACACAUAUUACAGCGAUGACGUCAAGCAUCCAAUCAUAUUAUGUAGCAAGCAUAGGCUCACAAAAUUAAUAUUUGUAUUUUUUCACUUACAAUUUUUGCACGCAGGUCCUCAAUUAUUGCUCAAUAGCAUCAAGCAGCUUUAUUGGCCUCUAGGCGGUAGGAACUUGGCGCGAAAAACGGUGGAUAGUUGCGUGACGUGUUGCAGGGUCAAAGGUCAAACUGUUCAACCUAUAAUGGGAAAUUUGCCUGCAACGCGCGCCCAAUUAGAUCACCCGUUUUUGAACACGGGCACGGACUACGCAGGCCCAAUAUUGAUAGCUGACCGCAAAGGUAGGGACUGCAGAUUAGUCAAAGCCUGGAUAUGCAUUUUUGUGUGCUUUGCAGUAAAGGCCGUGCAUCUGGAACUUGUCUCAGACCUCACCAAAGACGCAUUCAUGGCUAGUUUAAACCGGUUCAUUGCUCGCCGGGGUAAACCAAAAAAUAUUUAUUGCGAUAAUGCCACUUAUUAUAUUGGUACCUGUAAUGAGCUGUACAGAGUACUGCAAAAAUCAGAUAUUGCAUCAAAUCUUGCUCAAUCUGAAAUUAACUUUGUUUUUUCACCUCCCUAUUCACCGCAUUUCGGUUCCUUAUGGGAACGAUGCGUGCGUUCGGUAAAGCACCAUUUGCGCCGCAUUUUAAAUCUAACACAUUUAACUUUCGAAGGUAUGAGCACGUGUUUAUCGGAUAUUGAAGCUGUCCUGAACUCUAGACCUUUAACCCCCAUGUCCAGCGACCCUUCCGAUCUGACCGCUCUCACACCAGCCCACUUCCUUAUUGGACGACCGCUUAUGUUUGUUCCUAAUUCGCAGAAUCCUGUGCCAGAGGAGAAGAUCAACACGCUGCAGCGGUAUCGGCGCGUGGAGCAGCUCAGACUUCAUUUUUGGAACAGAUUUAAGCUAGAAUAUGUUUCACAACUACAGCAAAAAACCAAAUGGUUUUCAUCACAUGAUCAACUAGUGGAAGGAGCCCUAGUUAUCAUUAAGGAGAAAGGGGUGCCCCCUUUAAUGUGGCUACUCGGUCGCAUAGUAAAACUUUAUAUGGGCAAGGAUGGAAUUGCCCGAGUAGCAGAUAUUAAAACGAAACGGGGAAUAAUCAAGCGGGCAUUUAAUAAUAUUUUCACCUCAGCAGCUCGAACAAGGGUACUUUGCUUCUUAAAAAUAGUGAGCAAAAUGCGAUUUUGCUCACUGAGUGAGACAAAAUGACAUUCAAGUGACCUUUAAAGUCAAAUGUCAUUUCAACAUGCGGGGUCUAAUACAAGUUCGAAAUACUUGGGUUCUAUUAUCUCUGUCCCUUUCACACUGUUAGCAAAAAGAAACAGACGAAAAAAAGUUCAAACGGCAUUCAACGGUAUAUUGACUGUUUAUAAUAGACCCCCGAAAAACUUCAGAACGCAUCGUUCCAAACCACGUACGAGCUCCGUACGAGUAUGAAUUCUAAAUAAUUAUUUAAUUAAAAUAAAGUUUAAGAUUUGAUAAAAAUACUAUAUUUUAGGUAUUUUAUUGUACAAUUAAAAUAAUGAACUCAAAAAAUACACAGAUUAUCACGCAAAAUUAAUUAUUUUACUUUUAAGAAUUUCUACUAUAGUUGACAAAUAGUACGUAUCCGCAAUUCGGACCGUAUCUUACAAAGUUCCUUUUUUACAAAAAAAAGUUGUUGGUUGAAGUGUCAGUUGAUGUUUCUUUAUUUCCAUAUUAUUUUACUGAAAUUUAUUAUUACGUUUUGUUUUUGUGUUAGAUUGCGGUAAUUAAACUUAAUUGUUUGUAUAUCUUAA